rnacentral:rRNA from 1 species
CUACGGGUUGCAGCAGUGGGGAAUAUUGCGCAAUGGGCGAAAGCCUGACGCAGCAACGCCGUGUGAGGGAUGAAGGCUUUCGGGUCGUAAACCUCUGUCGGAAGGGAAGAACGGGCAUUGGUCUAAUAGGCCUUUGUUUUGACGGUACCUUUAGAGGAAGCACCGGCUAACUCCGUGCCAGCAGCCGCGGUAAUACGGAGGGUGCAAGCGUUAUUCGGAAUUACUGGGCGUAAAGCGCACGUAGGCCGUUUUGUAAGUCAGGGGUGAAAUCCCACGGCUCAACCGUGGAACUGCCUUUGAAACUGCAGGACUUGAAUCCUGGAGAGGGUGGCGGAAUUCCUGGUGUAGGAGUGAAAUCCGUAGAUAUCAGGAGGAACACCGGUGGCGAAGGCGGCCACCUGGACAGGUAUUGACGCUGAGGUGCGAAAGUGUGGGGAGCAAACAGGAUUAGAUACCCCCGUAGUC